rnacentral:rRNA from 1 species
GACGAACGCUGGCGGCGUGCUUAACACAUGCAAGUCGAACGGAAAGGCCCUGCUUUUGUGGGGUGCUCGAGUGGCGAACUGGUGAGUAACACGUGAGUAACCUGCCCUUGACUUUGGGAUAACUUCAGGAAACUGGGGCUAAUACCGGAUAGGAGCUCCUGCUGCAUGGUGGGGGUUGGAUAGUUUCGGCGGUUGGGGAUGGACUCGCGGCUUAUCAGCUUGUUGGUGGGGUAGUGGCUUACCAAGGCUUUGACGGGUAGCCGUCCUGAGAGGGUGACCGGCCACAUUGGGACUGAGAUACGGCCCAGACUCCUACGGGAGGCAGCAGUGGAGAAUAUUGCACAAUGGGCGGAAGCCUGAUGCAGCAACGCCGCGUGCGGGAUGACGGCCUUCGGGUUGUAAACCGCUUUCGCCUGUGACGAAGCGUGAGUGACGGUAAUGGGUAAAGAAGCACCGGCUAACUACGUG